rnacentral:tRNA from 1 species
UCCCCAGUGGUCCAGUGGCUAACACUCUGAGUUCCCACUUCAGGGGUCCCGGGGUUCAAUCCCUGGCUGGGGAA